CUUGGACAUAACGCUUUCUUGCUUUUCCUUUAUUUUCAACGUGUCCUCCUCCGUCAGAUCUUGUUUCUUGGGACAAAAAGAGAUAUUUUUAGACCCUGCACCGCCAUGGAACAUUCAAGUCGACUCGGGAUUUACAUUGUCAUGACUGCGGUGUCGGUCAGAGGUAUGGAACUCAUGAUGGACUCCCGAUGACCUCCUGAUUUCAACGGCACUCCUGUGUAAUGAAAGGGAAAGAUGCAUGGGCGAGUCAUAAAUCUCUAGUACGAUAAAACAGGGGUAAUCAGAGUGAAUACCUUCCCCCAUCCCUGGUGGCAUGGAAUGAGGCGGAGGUCCAUUUUCGUCAUCUUCGAGCUGCCGACCUGGAAAAUUCUGCAGUUUCGCUUCUAUUGUACUCUUGUACAAAAGUCUCUUCGAUUAUCUCUCCUAGGCAACCAAAUUUUUCAAGCUCAUCUGUACUGCUGUCGUCUAGCUACAUUUGGAAAUGAGUGGUUUAGGUACAUUAUACCUGAGGGGAGAAAAUUAAUUUGACAAGAUAAGUUUUAUUAUCAUACCUGAAGGAUGUGUGGCUCCGAAUAACCGUCUCGAGAUUUAGAAUUACUUGUUGGAUAAUGCGGCGAUCUCGGACUCUUGGAAUUUAUCGAAGAAUCAGGUGUAUCGCCCUGCUCCCCUUGAUACAGUGGGUGUAAAGGUAUC